rnacentral:rRNA from 1 species
UGAAUACGAGACGCUAAGGCGUCGAAGUAGUGUAUGUCAUACUUCCAAGAAAAGCUUGCACUGUCAUAAAUAAAAGAUGCCUGUACCAUAACCGACACAGGUGGGUAAGUAGAGUAUACUAAGGGGCGCGAGAUAACUCUCUCUAAGGAACUCGGCAAAAUAACUCCGUAACUUCGGGAGAAGAAGUGCCUUAUUCUUAAGGUUGCAAUAACAAGAUCCAAGCAACUGUUUAUCAAAAACACAGGUCUCCGCUAAGUCGUAAGACGAUGUAUGGGGGCUGACGCCUGCCCAGUGCCAGAAGGUUAAAGAAGUCGGUUAGCAAUUGCGAAGCUGGUAACUGAAGCCCUGGUGAACGGCGGCCGUAACUAUAACGGUCCUAAGGUAGCGAAAUUCCUUGUCGGGUAAGUUCCGACCCGCACGAAAGGCGUAAUGAUUUGGAUGCUGUCUCGGAGAGAGGCUCGGUGAAAUAGACUUGUCUGUGAAGAUGCGGACUACCUGCACCAGGACAGAAAGACCCUAUGAAGCUUUACUGUAACUUGAAAUUGAAAUUGGACUUUACUCGCGCAGUAUAGGUGGGAGGCGUUGAUUAUAAUCUCGUGGGAUUAUUGGAGCCAUCAGUGAGAUACCACUCUUGUAAUGUUAGAUUUCUAACUUUGAAUCAUUAUCUGGUCAAAGGACAGUUUCAGGCGGGCAGUUUGACUGGGGCGGUCGCCUCCUAAACGGUAACGGAGGCGUACAAAGGUUUCCUCUGAACGGUUAGAAAUCGUAUCUAGAGUGUAAAGGCAUAAGGAAGCUUGACUGUGAGACCUACAAGUCGAGCAGGGACGAAAGUCGGUCUUAGUGAUCUGACGGUACUGAGUGGAAGGGCCGUCACUCAACGGAUAAAAGUUACUCUAGGAUAACAGGCUGAUCUCCUCCAAGAGUUCACAUCGACGGGGAGGCUUGGCACCUCGAUGUCGGCUCAUCGCAUCCUGGGGCGGUAGUACGUCCCAAGGGUUGGGCUGUUCGCCCAUGAAAGCGGUACGCGAGCUGGGUUCAGAACGUCGUGAGACAGUUCGGUCCAUAUCCGGUGUAGGCGCUAGAAUAUUGAGAGGAGCCUUCUUUAGUACGAGAGGACCGUGAAGGACAUACCUCUGGUGUACCAGUUAUCGUGCCAACGGUAAACGCUGGGUAGCUAUGUAUGGAGUGGAUAACCGCUGAAAGCAUCUAAGUGGGAAGCCCACCUCAAGAUAAG